rnacentral:rRNA from 1 species
AUGGCUGUAGAGAAGCAGAGAAACACAUUCUUUCUAUCUGCUUCUCUUAAUUUUUUGGGCCGUUCGGAUAGUACUCAUCAGGCAUAUCGAACAAAAUUCUCGUGGAAGGUCAAACAAGAUUGUUGGAAUUCCUCUUGCUUUUUGAGAACAGCUUCAAUUCGAUGUGUGCAUGAUCAUGUGUGUUCGUAUGUGUGUGUGUGUGCGCUAGCGUGCUCUGCUGGCAGAGGCAUGCACAUCCUCAUCAUCCCGCUGCAGUACAGAUUGGGGUGCAAGCAUCGUGCAGAUAAGAACGUUGUUGUAAACUCUGUUAUAUUUUGCAGGGGAAGAUUUCAGAUGCUGAUAUUCAGCGUAUUGCCAAAAGAGUUGGGUGAACAAAUGCACUCUCCAAAUGACAUCCAAGAAAAUAUUUUCAAGAGGCGGAACAAAAUAUGGUUGGCCAUGCUCGAUCCGACCAAGAGGAGCAGCAGUAGUAGGUACUGGUGCAGAUUAGGGUGUGUGGUGAUGCGAGGAGAAGCCUGUGCACCAUUGCCACUGGCCUCCUCUAGCUCCGUCGAUGGCUACUUCCUUCUUAUUGCUAGUACAGAAAAGAAUGAACUACGGGUUGCUUCUGCCUCAUGA